ACUGAGUCAGAUGACGGUCUUUACUACUGUGGAACUGAAGAACAAAAAGUGGAGGAUAAGGAGCAAAUAACUUCUAAAUAUAUUUAUAUCUACAGCAACAUCACAACAAGAAUCAUAUUCAAUGCAGAACCGAAUGCGACCUCUUGCCCCAAGAUGCUUCAGGACUGUAAUGAGUGCUGGAUUCUGAUCUUCUGUCUGUGUCCAGUUGUAUCUAUUGUCUCCUCUCUCCUCUCCUCACUUGUGGUCUAUCACUGCUGUAAGAAGGCUGAAGAACAUCCUGUUGAUCAGCAAAGACCUGACACUAGAGGUCAUCCAAGACAGAGCCAGGAUGACGAUGUGUGCUAUGCUGCUGUGGAAAUCCGUCAGAAAUCAAAGAGACCAAAGAAGAAGAAGGAACCGCAGACUUCUGACUUCUGCACCUAUUCUGCUCUUAAUACAUCUAAGAUGUAACAGGCCUAAGAC